GAUGAACGCUGGCGGCGUGCCUAAUACAUGCAAGUCGAGCGAACGGACGAGAAGCUUGCUUCUCUGAUGUUAGCGGCGGACGGGUGAGUAACACGUGGAUAACCUACCUAUAAGACUGGGAUAACUUCGGGAAACCGGAGCUAAUACCGGAUGAUAUUUUGAACCGCAUGGUUCAAAAGUGAAAGACGGUCUUGCUGUCACUUAUAGAUGGAUCCGCGCUGCAUUGGCUAGUUGGUAAGGUAACGGCUUACCAAGGCAACGAUGCAUAGCCGACCUGAGAGGGGGAUCGGCGACACUGGGACUGAGACACGGUCCAGGCUCCUACGGGAGGCAGCAGUAGGGAAUCUUGCGCGAUGGGCGAAAGCCUGACGGAGCAACGCCGCGUGAGUGAUGAAGGUCUUCGGAUCGUAAAACUCUGUUAGUAGGGAAGAACAUAUGUGUAAGUAGCUGUGCACAUCUUGACGGUACCUAAUCAGAAAGCCACGGCUAACUACGUG
rnacentral:rRNA from 1 species